ACAUGGUGAUGGUGUUUGAGUUGAAAUAGGCAAGGGCAGUCGACCACGAGAGGAGUUAAAAGAGAACGGACGGAAUCAACCGAGCCUUCUGUCCAUUCAGUCUCCAACUUGACAAGGGAAAGCAAAAGGAAGCCCAUUGAACUGAUGCAACCAUGGUCCAAGUGGCAAGCUAGAAAGCAACACGCUUCGACGGUAUCAUUCCUUAAAUAAGCAUGACAUUUGCUGAAAUGGUAGUUUUUCAUUAACUUUGUAAUCUUUAUUCGUAUGUCAGCAGCUCUCUGACUAUGCUUUAAAUGAAAGCAGUUUACAUUGAUAUGAUAUGAGCAUCAGAGAUUAAGAAGAAAAUGGGCAUGUCAGAAUUAGUUAUAGUUGGUUGCCUUUAAUAUACAUCUUUCAUGUUCCCUCUGUAGAGCGUCCACUCCGUGUCCCCGCUCGUCAUGUAGGUGACCUUGGUGACAUUGCCAUGGUCGCAAAUGGCCACAACGGUGUAGUCAUCAAGCCUUGGGUUCAGCCCGAGCACGAGUCUGUGUGGGUACCAGUUGUUGGGCAGAGGAAGGAGCUCGAUCUCCUCGCCGGUGACAGGAUUUAAGAGACCACAACAUCGACCAUAGGCAAUGCAGGGUAGCUAUAGCAGUUAGAUUGGAUCACGACUGAAACCAAGAACUUUGGGAUGGUGCGAGGAGUGGUAGUCAUAAAGCAAGUAACAAAGGGUAACCAUAGCAGUUAGACUUGAUCACGACUGAAACUACGAACUUUGGGAUGGUGCGAGCAGUGGUGGUCAGCAAGCAAGAAAGAGAAAUGUUUGCCUUUAUUUGCUAUGACUAACAUGAUGUUCUCUCAGGUAUGUAAAGCUCCUUUGUGCAGGUAACAAAGGUAACCCUUCAAAGUAUUGAAGGGACAAAUAAACUGCAGAUUGCUUGUUUGAUUUCAAGUGAGUGAUUCAUGUUCUUGGCAUCAACCGUUGUUUGAGAUCUUUUGUAUUUGUAGGAGCACAUGCUUAAAUAUUAGACGAUCCCAAGUUAGAUAUACACCGACAUGUGUAUAUAGAGAUGGAAGCAAAUUACUAGCAUUAAUUUUGACGAUGAGGAAGGUAAAACAGAGAUGCGAAUUACUAACAUGGACACUAAGAGUAGGUCUUGGCGUCUUCCUCUCCCUCCGAACUGAUGUGGUUGUGUGGGUGUUGUCAACUGAUGUGCCUAUGCAGAUCAUCGUUGCCUAAGAUAUAUGCCGGUGGAUGGAAAUAGAGGUGUUCAAGCGAGUCAGCGGCAUGUCUGCCAUGCCACAACAGCUCAGCUCCGAACAUAUAAUAGGCGCAGCAAAUAACAUCGCAUAAUUUAGGCAAGCGAAAUAUAGCUGUGAAAUGCCUCCAUGUUGUAUUGCACACCCAUUGCUUAAUACUUUGACAUAAGUAUAAACAUCUACAAGCCUACUGUUCUUCCGCGUGUUAAAUUGAAUAAGAUUAUGAUGGUAUAGUGUUGCUGUUGAUGCGUUGCGCAGCAGACGUUUCCUUUGUCCCUUCAAAGACGCGGAUCAUACAUUAGCAUGCUCAAGUUGCGAUGACUUGACAUAGGCAAGAAAGUUCCACACAUUUUCUCUUCCAUUCACACUUAUACUUUAAGGGGUUUCUUACAGGUUUAAAACCUUGAAGCUUACAUGGUCACUAAUAUGGGCAUGUUGUGUUAAAUCAAUAACCUUCAUUUCAGUCUUUAGGCAUUAUGAAGAAACUUCAACAUUGAAGAUAGUGAAAGGUGAUUUUUUUUUCGUUUCCUUUGACAUAUAUUUAAGUCCUUUUCCCCCUCUUCUCUCUCAUUUUCCAUUAAUUCAAAUAUGUUUUAUUACCUGGUGAAUAUUUAUUCUGUUUUAGUGGCUGACUAAUUGGCCCUUCGUUGAUCGAUAUGGUUACCUUUGAAUGGCAUGAAAGAGGAGGAAUAAGGGUUGCUUCCCGUGCUUAAUAAUUGUAUAUAUAAACUGUACAUAUAAAUUGAUCGCUUUAUCUAAUUACAGGGCAGCUAUAUUGCAUAGUAUUCAGUAUAAACAUGUUUUCUUUUAAUUUUUUUUCUAUAUCACUUAAUAAUAGUUGAUGUUGUUAAUUUAGCUUGACACAAGUAUGUGAUUUGAAGUUUCAUUUGAUACAUUGAAGCUUGGGACUUUUGCCGUUUGGGUUCUCAUCUGUUAUUCUAUUGCAUACAUUUAUUCUAUUAUUGUGCAAAUUUUAUAGUGGCAUGCUUUAACCAUGACUAUUGUCUUCAUGCAGACAUGCAGUGCACUUGAAUUGGAUAAUAAUGAUGGUUUUAAUUUUGCCUCAAACAUGCAGAAGAAAUUCAAGAUAGUUUUUUUUCGGUGAAUACAUACAUUAUAGCAAGCAUUAGGUUUUUGACCAUGCACGAGCAAUGUAUAGAAGGUAGACAUGGAGGAAUAUUUUAUGGGCAAUUCAAUGUGUAUUGACUGUAACACUAAACUAUACCAUAUAUAAUCUUUAUUCAAUUUUUUUUUGCAUUGCACAUAUAUGAUCAUGUAUAUAUAAAGCUGAAUGAAGUUUUUAGUUGAGUUGAUUCUUGACAAGCUCAAAUCCAUCACGGGCCUGGGGCUUGUCAGCGACGUGUUCAGGGA